rnacentral:lncRNA from 1 species
GGGGGAGGAGCCAAGAUGGCCGAAUAGGAACAGCUCCGGUCUACAGCUCCCAGCGUGACCGAUGCAGAAGAUGGGUGAUUUCUGCAUUUCCAUCUGAGGUACCGGGUUCACCUCACUAGGGAGUGCCAGACGAAAUCCUGGACUCACAGAUCAUUUACUCUUUGUAACAGCUAUAGUUUCCACACCACAGCAUAACUCAGGACAUUAAAGGUACUACAGACAACUCAAUGUAUGCAAACCACAAUGACUAACCCUGGAACCCUGGAAAGAAUGUACACAGUAGCAGGAGCCUACAGAAGACUGCAAGAAGAUGGGGAAAUGCAAAAAUGAAAUAUAAAAUGAAACAAAGUAAAAUCUAAAUGGAUACCUGAGAUGAGUAAUGAAAUUUUCAUUGCCAUUUUUGGAUUUACUCUCCUAACUAAUCUCCAAGGUAAUGCAAACUAAGUUAGAAGAAAGCUUUUCUGAGUCAAUCGGGGUCCCAAGAAGCAAACUGAAGGCCCACUGUGUGUAGGCACUGGUUUUCUGCACCACACCCUGGCUCACUGCCUUCUCCAAGCCCUCCAAAGACUGUUAGUUUAGGCAUCUAGGAGAAAACAUUUCAGAACUUGUAUGUCCCAACAUCAUGCUAUUUGAAAUAUCACUUUUCUCAGAAAAAG